AUUGAACGCUGGCGGCAUGCCUUACACAUGCAAGUCGAACGGUAACAGGUCUUCGGAUGCUGACGAGUGGCGAACGGGUGAGUAAUACAUCGGAACGUGCCUAGUAGUGGGGGAUAACUACUCGAAAGAGUGGCUAAUACCGCAUGAGAUCUACGGAUGAAGGCAGGGGAUCGCAAGACCUUGUGCUACUAGAGCGGCCGAUGGCAGAUUAGGUAGUUGGUGGGAUAAAAGCUUACCAAGCCGACGAUCUGUAGCUGGUCUGAGAGGACGAUCAGCCACACUGGGACUGAGACACGGCCCAGACUCCUACGGGAGGCAGCAGUGGGGAAUUUUGGACAAUGGGCGAAAGCCUGAUCCAGCAAUGCCGCGUGCAGGAUGAAGGCCUUCGGGUUGUAAACUGCUUUUGUACGGAACGAAAAGCCCUGGGUUAAUACCCUGGGGUCAUGACGGUACCGUAAGAAUAAGCACCGGCUAACUACGUGCCAGCCGCCGCCGUAAUAC
rnacentral:rRNA from 1 species